UUAGUCGUGAUGAACAAUCCAAGUUCUGCAUAAUUUUCAUUCCGUGCUAGCAGUUGUAUCAUCAAUACAUAAAUAUUCGAAGGCACUUUCAACCUUUCCAGGUUAGCACUGGAAGAACGGAUACAGGAUCAACAAGAGACAGAAAGAACAGUUCAUGCAUCAAAAGUAGAUAACAUGUCAGCAAGAAGAUAAAGCAACUUCUUUGCCCUUUUACAAGCAGUAAGAACAUGGUAAAACUGUAGCAGCUCAUAUUAAUAGGUUUUUGUUAAAGGUGAAUCCUAUAUUAUAGAACUUACGAUGGAGUUUGAACAGUUUGGUGGAAUCUUUUUCUGAAUUAAGUGUUUGGAUCCAAGUAGGACUGGAUAUUUUAAAGAAACUAAAACUAAUUGAGAGCCAUUUAAAGUUUUAGCUACCAAUCAACCAUCCACAUUAUUAGUUCAUCUAGAUCAUGCUAACAUCAUAACAAUAUUCCUGAAUUAAGCACUAGUUCGAGCCCCGGAUACGGAAAAAAUCCUUGGUAGGGAACAAGGAAGGACCCUAGGUGGCCCGAAUCCGGAUUAGUCGGGCUCCGAUGCAGGUACAAUACUGGAUGGGAACCGCCCCCCCCCCAAAAAAAGCAUUAGAAUAAUAGUAAAUUUGUAACAUAAAACAAAAUAAAAAGAAAAGCAAAUAGUAACUUCUGUUUUAAACAAACACAUAAAAAGGAACAAACUGAAACUUUUUUGAACAUCAUAAUAAGGAAAAGAGAGUAGUUAAAAUUUUAAGGGGCUAGGGGAAGGAAGAUAACAUAUUUAAACUUUUUUUUUUCAAUUUUUUUGUAACAUGUUAGAACUUGUGACCUCCUGUUGAGACAAGUUUGAUUGGAUUUGGUUAGACUCAUGACAAAAACAACCUUGCGUAAGUCUUGUAUAUUUCUUUCAGGGUCAAAAAAUGGAUAUUCACAGCAUUUAAGUACUACUAAAUUAGUGAAUAUAAAAUUGAAAUGUUUUUCCAAAUGUAAUAAGAUAGCGAUGGCAUUAUGAACUUAUUGAGAUAGCUCAGAGAGAAAUUGUGUACCUGCGUAGGAACUCAACAAUGAUUGCAACCAAGUAAGAAGCAUCCCCAGCCAUUUCUUCCUCUACAGAAGCAAACACAAAGCAGCACAGAUCAUCGGGGGAUAUUGCUGCAGAAGUUAUUAGAGACUCCUGCUGUUCAUCAAUCCUUAGGGGAGUGCUACCUGGUCCAGGAUCUUUAGGUCGUACAACAGAAGGCUGAGCUUCAGAAACAGAUAAAUCUGUCCCCACCAAGUUGCCUCCAUUUUGUUCGCUACUAGAUAAAUCUACAUUUUUAGAUUUGCCCCUAUUUUCUGCAAAGCUAACAUUGUCCUCAGAAUCUGACGUAAAGGAAGAGGAUUUGACAAUAGACUUGUCGUGCAUGCCACUACCACUUUCUUGUAUUGGUGACUUUUCAAAUGUUUCUACUUGACUGAUGGAUUUGCCAAUAGCACCAUCAACACUAGAACCACUGGUUGUUGAACUUCUCUCCACUUUUGAUCCCGCUUGAUGCUUUCCGGUUUUUAUUGAAAGAGAGAAAG
rnacentral:lncRNA from 1 species